CGACGUCGCAUGCUCCCGGCCGCCAUGGCGGCCGCGGGAUUCGAUUAGAGUUUGAUCAUGGCUCAGAUUGAACGCUGGCGGCAGGCCUAACACAUGCAAGUCGAGCGGUAGAGAGAAGCUUGCUUCUCUUGAGAGCGGCGGACGGGUGAGUAAUGCCUAGGAAUCUGCCUGGUAGUGGGGGAUAACGUUCGGAAACGGACGCUAAUACCGCAUACGUCCUACGGGAGAAAGCAGGGGACCUUCGGGCCUUGCGCUAUCAGAUGAGCCUAGGUCGGAUUAGCUAGUUGGUGAGGUAAUGGCUCACCAAGGCGACGAUCCGUAACUGGUCUGAGAGGAUGAUCAGUCACACUGGAACUGAGACACGGUCCAGACUCCUACGGGAGGCAGCAGUGGGGAAUAUUGGACAAUGGGCGAAAGCCUGAUCCAGCCAUGCCGCGUGUGUGAAGAAGGUCUUCGGAUUGUAAAGCACUUUAAGUUGGGAGGAAGGGCAUUAACCUAAUACGUUAGUGUUUUGACGUUACCGACAGAAUAAGCACCGGCUAACUCUGUGCCAGCAGCCGCGGUAAUACGAAUCACUAGUGAAUUCGCGGCCGCCUGCAGGUCGACCAUAUGGGAGAGCUCCCAACGCGU
rnacentral:rRNA from 1 species